rnacentral:rRNA from 1 species
ACGCUCGACACCUACGGGGGGCAGCAGUGGGGAAUAUUGCACAAUGGGGGAAACCCUGAUGCAGCGACGCCGCGUGAGCGAAGAAGUAUCUCGGUAUGUAAAGCUCUAUCAGCAGGGAAGAAGAUGACGGUACCUGACUAAGAAGCACCGGCUAAAUACGUGCCAGCAGCCACGGUAAUCUGAGCGGGCUGGCAAGGC